GACAGAGGGUGCAAACGUUGUUCGGAAUUACUGGGCGUAAAGCGCGUGUAGGCGGCUAAGUAAGUCGGGCGUGAAAUCCCACGGCUCAACCGUGGAAGUGCACUCGAAACUGCAUAGCUAGAGUCCUGGAGAGGAAGGUGGAAUGCUUGGUGUAGAGGUGAAAUUCGUAGAUAUCAAGCGGAACACCGGUGGACGAAGGCGGCCUUCUGGACAGUGACUGACGCUGAGACGACGAAAGCGUGGGGAGCAAACAGGG
rnacentral:rRNA from 1 species